UACGGAGGAUGCAAGCGUUAUCCGGAAUGAUUGGGCGUAAAGGGUCCGCAGGUGGCAAUGUGUGUCUGCUGUCGAAGAAUGAGGCUUAACCUCAUCAAGGCAGUGGAAACUACAUAGCUAGAGUACGGUCGGGGUAGAAGGAAUUCCUGGUGUAGCGGUGAAAUGCGUAGAGAUCAGGAAGAACACCGGUGGCGAAAGCGUUCUGCUAGACCUGUACUGACACUGAGGGACGAAAGCUAGGGGAGCGAAUGGG
rnacentral:rRNA from 1 species